AGCCGAGCGGUAUGAUUCUUUCGGGAAUCAGAGAGCGGCGUACGGGUGCGGAACACGUGUGCAACCUGCCUUUAUCUGGGGGAUAGCCUUUCGAAAGGAAGAUUAAUACCCCAUAAUAUAUUGAGUGGCAUCACUUAAUAUUGAAAACUCCGGUGGAUAGAGAUGGGCACGCGCAAGAUUAGAUAGUUGGUGGGGUAACGGCCUACCAAGUCAGUGAUCUUUAGGGGGCCUGAGAGGGUGAUCCCCCACACUGGUACUGAGACACGGACCAGACUCCUACGGGAGGCAGCAGUGAGGAAUAUUGGACAAUGGGUGCAAGCCUGAUCCAGCCAUCCCGCGUGAAGGACGACGGCCCUAUGGGUUGUAAACUUCUUUUGUACAGGGAUAAACCUAGAUACGUGUAUCUAGCUGAAGGUACUGUACGAAUAAGCACCGGCUAACUCCGUGCCAGCAGCCGCGGUAAUACGGAGGGUGCAAGCGUUAUCCGGAUUUAUUGGGUUUAAAGGGUCCGUAGGCGGAUCAGUAAGUCAGUGGUGAAAUCUCAUAGCUUAACUAUGAAACUGCCAUUGAUACUGCUGGUCUUGAGUAAGGUAGAAGUAGCUGGAAUAAGUAGUGUAGCGGUGAAAUGCAUAGAUAUUACUUAGAACACCAAUUGCGAAGGCAGGUUACUAUGUCUUAACUGACGCUGAUGGACGAAAGCGUGGGGAGCGAACAGGAUUAGAUACCCUGGUAGUCCACGCUGUAAACGAUGCUAACUCGUUUUUGGGUUUUCGGAUUCAGAGACUAAGCGAAAGUGAUAAGUUAGCCACCUGGGGAGUACGAACGCAAGUUUGAAACUCAAAGGAAUUGACGGGGGCCCGCACAAGCGGUGGAUUAUGUGGUUUAAUUCGAUGAUACGCGAGGAACCUUACCAAGGCUUAAAUGGGAAUUGAUCGGUUUAGAAAUAGACCUUCCUUCGGGCAAUUUUCAAGGUGCUGCAUGGUUGUCGUCAGCUCGUGCCGUGAGGUGUUAGGUUAAGUCCUGCAACGAGCGCAACCCCUGUCACUAGUUGCCAUCAUUAAGUUGGGGACUCUAGUGAGACUGCCUACGCAAGUAGAGAGGAAGGUGGGGAUGACGUCAAAUCAUCACGGCCCUUACGCCUUGGGCCACACACGUAAUACAAUGGCCGGUACAGAGGGCAGCUACACAGCGAUGUGAUGCAAAUCUCGAAAGCCGGUCUCAGUUCGGAUUGGAGUCUGCAACUCGACUCUAUGAAGCUGGAAUCGCUAGUAAUCGCGCAUCAGCCAUGGCGCGGUGAAUACGUUCCCGGGCCUUGUACACACCGCCCGUCAAGCCAUGGAAGUCUGGGGUACCUGAAGUCGGUGACCGUAAAAGGAGC
rnacentral:rRNA from 1 species